rnacentral:lncRNA from 10 species
AGGAGAAUGGCUUUAACCUAGGAGGUGGAGGUUGUGGUGAGCUGAGAUCGCACCACUGCACUCUAGCCUGGGCGAUAAAGUGAGACUCCAUCUCAAAAAAAAAAAAAAAGUAAAAUUAAUAAAUUCAUAAGUGUGGGGAUACUUUUAAAAAAUAUUUUUUAUAUGAACUCCAGAUAAUAUCCUCUCUCCAGAGUUAAAAAGUAUGGGCUUAUAAUGCCUGGGUACUCAAAAUGUGUUCUGGGGGCCAUCUACACAGGCAUUGCCUAGGAGCUUGUUAGAAAUGCAAUCUCAGGUCCCACUGCUGGCCUACUGAAUCAGAAUCUGCAUUUUCAUGAGUUCCCAGGUGAUUUGUGUGCACAUUCAAGUACCAGAAGCACUGAACUCACAGACUGAGGGGACAGUAUUUUUACUAACACUAGCCCUUUGAAGGAUAUUCAGGUUGUUAAAGAAUUGAAAGUAAAAAAUAGAUAAAAGUGGGAGGCAGAAAAAUUAACUAAUUCUUCCUACAGAACUAUGUGUGAAUGGGACCCAAUUUUGGAACACAUCACUAGAGAAUCAGAACUUGGAGUGACCUGUUAAAGAGGUGUCACUCACAAGUAGGCCACCUCCCCUUGGUCCUUAUAGUAAUUACAAAUAAGAAAAUCAUAGAAGCAGAAACUUUUAGAACUGAGGUGAACGGUAGAACUUGUAGUAGUUGGUGCACAUGAGGUCUCGAGCCUCUGACUGGGUUUGUUCCCCCCAAAUUUGGGUAUGAAGUUAAAAAUAAAAAUGUUGGCUGGGCGUGGUGGCUCAUGCCUGUAAUCCCAGGACUUUGGGAGGCCGAGGCGGGUGGAUCACCUGAGGUCAGGAGUUCAAGACCAGCCUGGCCAACAUGGUGAAACCCCGUCUGUACUAAAAAUAUAAAAAAUUAGCCUGGCGUGGUGGCGGGUGCCUGUAAUCCCAACUACUUGGGAGGCUGAGGCAGGAGAAUCUCUUGAACCCAGGAGGCGAAGGUUGCAGACAGCCGAGAUGGCACCACUGCGCUCCAGCCUGGGCAACAGAGAGAGGCUCUGCCUCAACAACAACAAGAAAGUUGCAGGUGCAGUUAGGGCCUUGUAUUCACAAGCUGUAGGGUCUUGAGCAAAUUCCUUAACUUCUUGGGGUGUCAGUCCAUAAUCUGUAUCAUCAGGAAGCUCAGGUAAGUGUUCUGAAAACUGUAUGGGAACCUGGAAUGUUAUCAUGGCAGAUUUCAAGGGUGAGUCCCAGUUUCAUCCAAUAAUUGCAUGUUGUGUGAGAUAAUAUCACAACAGAGGGCGGUAGUCUGCUUGAAGUAAAGAAAAAGUGAGCUAAUUAACUAAAGAAUGUGCCAUGAUGUUUUCUACACUGUCCAGAGGAAACAGAGCCUCUGUUUCUGGUGUUCUAGUAUAGAUAGGAGAUCAUGGAGUUUCACUAAGGACCUGUGGAAUGAAUGCAUGAAAUACCAAGUUGGCGGGAGCAGUGACUCACACCUGUAAUCCCAGCACUUUGGGAGGCCAAGGCGGGUAGAUCUCCUGAGGUCAGGAGUUCAAGACCAGCCCAGCCAACAUGGUGAAACCCCUGUCUCCACUGAAAAAAAAAAGAAAUACUAAGUUGGGAAAAGUAAAUUCAUCAACAUUCAUUCAUUCAACAAAUAUUUACUGAGUACCCUCCAUGUGCCAAGCUGGCUAAGGACAUAACGGUGAGCAAAUGUACACACUGUCCCUGCCCUCACAGAGCUUACAAUCCAAUCAAAUAUUUGGUUUAAUGUAAAAUUGCAUCUUUGCUAAAUGCCACAAAAGAGCCGGGCAAUGAACUGAGAGAGCUUGUUCUAGAACGAUCUGACCUGGUCAGGGGAAUCAGGGAAGACCUCCUGAGGAAGUGACCCUUGAGCUGAGAGCUGAAGAACGAGCAAGAAUUAACGUGGGGACGAAGGGAGGAAAGAGUGUCCCGGGGUGAGAACACUGUGUGCACAGGCCUUCUGGCAGGAGGGAGUGUGUAGAUUCAUGGUGGUCAGAAAGGCCAGUCCCCUCUUUAUCUGGUGGAGCGACAUCAUGAGGCUGGGGACAGCAGCCAGAGGCAGAUCAGAUCUGGUCCGGCCGUGUGCACCCAAGUUUGGUUCUCCUUCUCCUAGCACUGGGAGGCCACUGCAAGAUCUCAGCCGUGAUGGCGUGGGGGUGGUGGAGGAUGUGUAUUUUGCAAGGACUAGAUCUGGAUUUCAAAAAGAUCACUCUGGCAGUAAAAUGGAGUACAACUCAGGAACAGGAGGGCAGAGUGGCUGUUUGGAGAAAGGCAAGAUAAUUUUACAGUCUAGAAGAGAGCCUGGAAAUGCUCCCUUCCACAGAAGUUCCAGCUCCUGCAGCCUAGUUCCGUCCUCAUGCAACCUUCCUUCCGUGAGGUUCUGCCUACCAAGAGGGAAGGAGGAAGGACCUGUGCAAUGAGCUUUAACCCGAGACAGAGAAAGUGAACAAACUGGAAGUCCAGCUGGCAAAUGAGUCCUUUUUGUGUCCAUAUGAAUGAGUUCGCCUAGGUGAAAUAAUUCAAAAGUGGUUUCUGAAUUUGCAAGUUGAGAACUCAGCUCUGGAUUCUUGGUGACCCCAAGUACAGGAGGCCUGAAAGGCCCUGUCUGAGAAUAUGCACUAGGCAGCUCCAUCUCCUGUACUCACCUUUUAACUCCAGUUAAGAAGCUAUCAUGUACACCCCAUCACUGAGAAGAUGUGGAAAGUGAGGCCCAGAGAGGUUUAGUAACUUCUCCAACAUCACACAGUAACUUUUAAGGGCCAGUCCCUGAACUGUCAUCCUAAAACUCAUUAGGUGUGUGAUCCUUUCAAAAUGCUCUACUGGCCGGCAUGUUUAGGGAUGAGUAAUGGAGAGAGUCAUAAAAACAUACUUUUAAAUUAAAUUCUUUUUUUCAAAUUUUCUGUACAUUGUGCUUUAAUUACCAUCUCCAGCCCCAAGAGUAGAAGGGCUAAAGAAAGAAUGGGCAUUCAGUCUAAAGUCUUAACACUGACUACCUGAGCCUUCAACAAUUUCUGGUAUUAACAUUAUAUAGCACUGCACCCAAGAAAUUCACAGAUGCUUUUAAUGAGUGUUUCUGUAUAGAUAGCAGUGCCUUUAUUUCUAGAUUGAAUUUCCAGGCAUAACUGGAGAACUUAGACCCAGUUUCCAGCCUCCAAGAAAAAUAAGUUCCUUUUGCUGCUAGCCC